CACGGAUCGGGAAAAGAUGCAGCACUGGCUCUGGUAUCUGCCGUCCUUGUCCUGUGAAUGCAGUCAUCUCAUAAAUGCCUGUCUGCAUCCCGAUCCCAGCGAGAGGAUACAACUGGAGCAGAUCCUCCUCCACGACUGGUUUACGAUCUCACCAUCAGACAUGGAGGAUGAGCGCCCGGUCCUGGUCAUGCAGGAAGAGCUGAUUAGCCAGGCAUGCUAACACCAGUGGCCUCACCACCUCUCCAGUCCUUUGCUUCUUGCUAGUGUCUGGUGUCAGAGCUUGCGGCAGCAAUAUU